rnacentral:rRNA from 1 species
UUGGUCCUAGCCUUGACAUUAAUUGUUACUAGACUUACACAUGCAAGCCUCCACAUCCCGGUGAGUAUUAUUCUGUCCCCUCCUGGAGACAGGAAAUAGGCAUCAGGCCCAACCCCCUGCCCAAGACACCCAGCCCAGCCACACCCAUAAGGAUUUCAGCAGUGAUUAACAUUGAACAUAAGCGACAGCUUGAUUCAAUUAUAGUAAAACAGGGUUGGCAAAGUUAGUGCCAGCCGCCGCGGUCACACUACAUCAACUCAAAUUAAUUUCUAUCGGCGUAAAGCGUGAUUAAAGAGCUCCCCACACUAGAGUUAAACAUAAAUUUUUUUGUCCAAACCUCAUUUAUAAGAAACACCACAACGAAAGUCACUCUAAGCUAAUCUACUUGAACUCACGACAGCAGGAAAACAAACUGGGA